rnacentral:rRNA from 1 species
GACGAACGCUGGCGGCGUGCCUAAUACAUGCAAGUCGAGCGAAUUUUUGGGAGCUUGCUCCCAAAGGUUAGCGGCGGACGGGUGAGUAACACGUGGGCAACCUGCCUAUAAGACUGGGAUAACUUCGGGAAACCGGAGCUAAUACCGGAUAAUUCAUAUCUACUCAUGUAGGUAUGCUGAAAGACGGUUUACGCUGUCACUUAUAGAUGGGCCCGCGGCGCAUUAGCUAGUUGGUGAGGUAACGGCUCACCAAGGCGACGAUGCGUAGCCGACCUGAGAGGAUGUUCGGCCACACUGGGACUGAGACACGGCCCAGACUCCUACGGGAGGCAGCAGUAGGGAAUCUUCCGCAAUGGACGAAAGUCUGACGGAGCAACGCCGCGUGAGUGAUGAAGGUUUUCGGAUCGUAAAACUCUGUUGUUAGGGAAGAACAAGUACUAGAGUAACUGCUAGUACCUUGACGGUACCUAACCAGAAAGCCACGGCUAACUACGUGCCAGCCGCCGCCGUAAGAC